rnacentral:misc_RNA from 1 species
GUGAUAUUUAUCCAAAAAAGAUAAAAUGUUAUAAAACUUCCCCUUAAAUUUAUAAAAAACUAAGAGUUCAAAGUUCACACUAAAGAGAAAUCCUAGGACUAAAACGGGUUGACCCGUAUCUUCUUAACAGUAGCCAUCCCAGCUGACUUCACCAAGGAUGACUCCAACUACAGACCAAUCAUUAGAGGGAGACUGAGGCAGCCGAAGGAGAGGCUACACAUGU